rnacentral:rRNA from 1 species
CCUACGGGAGGCAGCAGUGGGGAAUAUUGCACAAUGGGGGAAACCCUGAUGCAGCGACGCCGCGUGAGUGAAGACGUAUCUCGGUACGUAAAGCUCUAUUAGCCGGGAAGAAAAUGACGGUACCUGACUAAGAAGCCCCGGCAAACUACGUGCCAGCAGCCGCGGUAAUACGUAGGAUGCGAGCGUUAUCCGGAUUUAUGGGGUUUAAAGGGUGCGCAGGCGGAGGGGCAAGUCAGUGGUCAAAUUGCGGGGCUCAACCCCGUACUGCCGUUGAAACUGCAUCCCUUGAGUGCGCGAGAAGUAUGCGGAAUGCGUGGUGUAGCGGUGAAAUGCAUAGAUAUCACGCAGAACUCCGAUUGCGAAGGCAGCAUACCGGCGCGCAACUGACGCUCAUGCACGAAAGCGUGGGUAUCGAACAGGAUUAGAUACCCUUGUAGUC